rnacentral:rRNA from 1 species
GAUGGACAGCAAGUUGGGAAAUAUGCACAUAGCGCAGCUGAUGCAGCCAUGGCGCGUGUGUGAGGAGCCUUCGGGGUGUAAAGCACUUUCCAGGUCCGUGAGGAAAGGUAUGAUGUCGUUUAAUAGCGCUAUGAUUUGACGUUAGCGACAGAAGAAGCACGGCUAACUCCGUGCCAGCAGCCGCGGUAAUACGGAGGGUGCGAGCGUUAAUCGGAAUUACUGGGCGUAAAGCGCAUGCAGGUGGUUUGUUAAGUCAGAUGUGAAAGCCCGGGGCUCAAACCUCGGAAUAGCAUUUGAAACUGGCAGACUAGAGUACUGUAGAGGGGGGUAGAAUUUCAGGUGUAGCGGUGAAAUGCGUAGAGAUCUGAAGGAAUACCGGUGGCGAAGGCGGCCCCCUGGACAGAUACUGACACUCAGAUGCGAAAGCGUGGGGAGCAAACAGGAUUAGAUACCCUGGUAGUCCACGCCGUAAACGAUGUCUACUUGGAGGUUGUGGCCUUGAGCCGUGGCUUUCGGAGCUAACGCGUUAAGUAGACCGCCUGGGGAGUACGGUCGCAAGAUUAAAACUCAAAUGAAUUGACGGGGGCCCGCACAAGCGGUGGAGCAUGUGGUUUAAUUCGAUGCAACGCGAAGAACCUUACCUACUCUUGACAUCCAGAGAACUUUUCAGAGAUGGAUUGGUGCCUUCGGGAACUCUGAGACAGGUGCUGCAUGGCUGUCGUCAGCUCGUGUUGUGAAAUGUUGGGUUAAGUCCCGCAACGAGCGCAACCCUUAUCCUUGUUUGCCAGCGAGUAAUGUCGGGAACUCCAGGGAGACUGCCGGUGAUAAACCGGAGGAAGGUGGGGACGACGUCAAGUCAUCAUGGCCCUUACGAGUAGGGCUACACACGUGCUACAAUGGCGCAUACAGAGGGCGGCCAACUUGCGAAAGUGAGCGAAUCCCAAAAAGUGCGUCGUAGUCCGGAUUGGAGUCUGCAACUCGACUCCAUGAAGUCGGAAUCGCUAGUAAUCGUGGAUCAGAAUGCCACGGUGAAUACGUUCCCGGGCCUUGUACACACCGCCCGUCACACCAUGGGAGUGGGCUGCAAAAGAAGUAGUGUAGUUUAACCUUCGGGGGGACGCUACCAUAGUGGGUUCCGG